rnacentral:rRNA from 1 species
AUGAAGUGGGCGGCUUGGGUCUUGACUGGAUCGAACAAGGAGGAGGGGGCACCGUCAACGCUCGAGUACGAGCAUUCGCUUGAUGCAGGAUGUGGCUCAAAGCAGAGGAGGACGCAGGCGGGCGACGCAGCAGAGGGAACUUGGCGUGGAGCGGCGACGGGACUUGCGGUGGCGGGCGUGCAGGGAAGGGCGGCGAGGAGCAGUUUCCGAUGGAGCCGCGAGGGACUUCGGCACGACGCUGGAGGCGCGCUGUUGCAUUCGACGCGAGGAGCUCGGGAGGAGUGGUUGGUGCGGGAAGCGACGAUGGCGGCAGCAGAAACUCCGGCAUGA